rnacentral:lncRNA from 1 species
AGGGUUCUAGAUAUGUUCCUACCACAUCGAUGGAUAACCUUGUAAUUUCAAGGCUAUGGUCUUCACCUUCUUAUUGUCGAGGACAUAUAUGGCUUCACAGACACUGUUGAUGGUGAUGAUCCAGUCAAGAAAGUACCCGAGAUUGAGCCUCCUAUGAAUUUGAAGAAGCUUUGCUUUGACACCAAGGAGCCUAUCAUGAUCUCACAACACUCCCUUAUUAAGUAGCGGAAGAUGAAUUGGUCCUUGAUUUGGAGUAUGGUGGU